AGCAGCUGCGGUAAUUCCAGCUCCAAUAGCGUAUAUUAAAGUUGUUGCAGUUAAAAAGCUCGUAGUUGAAUUUCGGGGUUAGUAGGUUGGUCAUGCCUCUGGUAUGUACUGGUCUCACUGAUUCCUCCUUCCUGAUGAACCUUAAUGCCAUUAAUUUGGUGUUUUGGGGAAUUCGGACUGUUACUUUGAAAAAGUUAGAGUGUUUAAAGCAAGCUAACGCUUGAAUACAUUAGCAUGGAAUAAUGAAAUAGGACGUUCGAUCCUAUUUUGUUGGUUUCUAGGAUUGACGUAAUGAUUAAUAGGGAUAGUUGGGGGCAUUAGUAUUCAAUUGUCAGAGGUGAAAUUCUUGGAUUUAUUGAAGACUAACUACUGCGAAAGCAUUUGCCAAGGACGUUUUCAUUAAUCAAGAACGAAAGUUAGGGGAUCGAAGACGAUCAGAUACCGUCGUAGUCUUAACCAUAAACUAUGCCGACUAGGGAUCGGAUGAUGUUAAUUUUUUAAUGACUCA
rnacentral:rRNA from 1 species